rnacentral:rRNA from 1 species
GGGUCCGGACACACUGAGGAUUGACAGGCAAAAGAUACAAGUUUUCUUUGUGAGAGCUUGCAUUGUAAAAUAUGCGAGUCCUUUCAUGAUUAUGUGAUAGGUGGUGCAUGGCCGUUCUUAGUUCGUGGAGUGAUCUGUCUGCUUAAUUGCGUUUCACAACGAUUUAAAAUGCUAUGUUUUCUGUGUUUGCUGUUCGGUUUUAGCUCUUACGGGAGUUUUUAACUUUGAACGCACACGGCGUAGCUUAAAACAAUCGGAAAGCAACGAACGUGACCGCAACCUCUUGUUGCCUUUAUUUUUAAAAGCGUGGAAAAUUUUAUUUUCUUACGCUUGAAAAAGGCUUUAAAACUAGAGGGACCGCUGUUCUAUUCUCUUAAACCAGAGGAAGAUUGCGGCAAUAACAGGUCUGUGAUGCCCUCAGAUGUUCCGGGCUGCACACGUGCUACAAUGAUUGUUGCAGUGAGCAUCUAUUUUCAAACGCUACCGUUGCGGAUUUUGUGAGAGGGGAGUUUGUUUUAAAGCUUUCGGGUGGAGAAGCAGGUUCUUUUUUUUUACAAUUUAUUCCGCGUUACGUGUCAGCUAAACCUGCUUCGAAAGCAAGUAGGU